rnacentral:rRNA from 1 species
UACGGGGGGGGCAAGCGUUGUUCGGAAUUACUGGGCGUAAAGGGCUCGUAGGCGGCCAACUAAGUCGGACGUGAAAUCCCUCGGCUUAACCGGGGAACUGCAUCCGAUACUGGAAGGCUUGAGUUUGGGAGAGGGAUGCGGAAUUCCAGGUGUAGCGGUGAAAUGCGUAGAUAUCUGGAGGAACACCGGUGGCGAAGGCGGCAUCCUGGACCGACACUGACGCUGAGGAGCGAAAGCCAGGGGAGCAAACGGG